AGUAGAGUUAGAGAGGUUUCUUCUUCAACAUACUCGGUUUUUCUUGGUUCUCUGGCACUACCACCACCACAAUUACCCCAGAAUUUAUAGUUCUUCUCCUUCACCACAAUGAUUCGAAGUGAACCACACAUCAUCUUCUCCUUUUUUUUGUUGAUUUCAGUUGGUCAUGGAUUUGCUAGGUAAGAAGAGAUUUUGGAUUUUAUUAAUAUUUCAGAAAUUAAAACCUAGGGUUUCAUAUAUCUGGGGGGUAAAUUUGGGGGAUUUUAAAUAUAUUAUUAUAAGUUUUAUGUUUGUUGUGUUAACUUGCUAAGAAAUACCUAUUUAUCAAUUUCUUAUAUGAUGUUUAGGGUUUUUUAAUUCGUUUUGAUUUUUUUUUCUACAAUUUUAUUAAUGAGUUUUUGCAAAUUUUUGGGUAAUUCAAUUCUGUUUUUGCAAAGCCAGUCAUCUUACUAGGGUUAACAGUGCCUUCAUUAGCUUCUUACAGAUUGAUUCCAUACAUGAAUCUCCUAAUUAUCAAUUAUUGCUCACAAUUGAGUAUGUGUUUGACACCUGAAUCUAUAGCACUGUUAGCAAGUAGUAAACAUAACAAGUGAUCUUUUAUUAGAUAAGAGUUUAGAUUUACUUCAGUUUGAUCUUUUAGUGUUUAUGUCCCACAAAUUAUUGCAGUUAAAAUAUAUUGGUUCAAGCACUCUAGAACUAUGGUUUUAACUCUUCCCUGACUUGGCUUAGAUUAUUUCAAAUUCUUUGAAUUCGCCCAAGAAGUUACUUAUUUAACUCCUGUAGUACACUUGAUAUGAGACGGUUGGACCAAGUCAGAACUGUGCAACAUAUGGAAGUUCAAGUAGCAUGUCACUUAUUUUUUUCCAGGCUUUUAUAUCCAGCUGAAGCAUUAGAAAAACAUUACGGUAUAUUUUCAGUGAAUUUCUCAAUGUUGUUCUAGAAACUGUUUAAGGAAGAAAAUAUACGUUUUUCAAAACCACUAAAAACUUGCAGCUUGAAACAUUCAUGUAUCUUUCAGUGAUUGUCCUUAACAUUAAUCACUGAAAGAGGGCUAUGAUGGUGCAAAUAGGGUGGUGGAGGAAAUCACUGAAUGGGGGCUAUGAUGGUGCAAAUAGGAUGGUGGAGGAAGCUGUUGUUGCUGGUGACGAUGGUCUUAGCGUUAUCUUUCAGUGAUUUCCCUCAAUGUUGUUCUCAUAAUUAGGUUUACCUAUAUGAGAUUCCACAUAUUCGGUGAGUUUCUUAGUAUAGGUUUACCUAUGUUUCCCCUCUAAGGUCGUCGAGUGUAUAGCCUGCCUUUUACUGUUCCACACAUGUAUCCAGACUGCUAAUGUUUUCAUGUGAAACGCGACCAAAACCAAAAUACUCAUUGAAUUGGUUGGUGUUAUUUAGUCUGCCCUGCAUGUCAUAAGAAAGUUCUUGAGGGUGGUGGUGACCUGUGGUGGACCAAAAUGCCCGUCGAAAGUGGAAAUUCCCAGAGCAAGGUUGACAUUCUGGAGUAUAUAUUGUAAUUGUCGUGUUUGUUGGAGCGUGUCAACCCGUUAUUCUAUGAACAUGGUCAUCCCGUCCCAUUUACAAUGCAAGUUCCAUUACACCGGCUGGAUUCAAAUUAUCACACAUGAGCUAAACUGUUGUUGCUGCUUGGAAAUUGCGGUUGAUAUUUCUAAUUACAGAUCGAAUAUAAACCUAAACAGGGGUUUCGUUUGCUGCCAAACUCGGAAGAUGAUUUGAAAGAGAGAAGUCCAGAACAUGAGCUUGCGGAGAUUCCAUUAGGAGGAUUUCAUCAAGCACGCUCUAACGGAAGUUGUACGAGCUAACAAGAAUAGAAAGAGAGACGGAUGGAGCUAAAGUCAGGGAAAAUUGUGUUGUAGAUGUGGUUGCUAAUGAGUGGAAGGAUGAGAGCAUGCAUAUUUAGCCGGGGGUUAAAGAUCAAAAGUUUUUGCAGGUAGUCGUAGACAAAGUCUGUUUGAUCAAUGCGCCGGUGCAGAGACGGCAAGCAACAUAUCUCAUUGCUGGAAGCAGUGUUUGGAUAGGUAAAAGGUACGAGGUUUGUGUCCAUGAUAGCUGGGAAAAUCAGAUGGACGUCGUUUAUCGGGGGCCAUCAUCCGAAGGCUGGGAAGCUCCGGAUGGGGUUUUUCAAUGGACGAUCGACUAGCAAAGUUUUGGUUGAUUUGGGUGAACCAGCCGUGCAGUAGAGUUAGAGAGGUUUAUUCUUCAACAUACUCGGCUUUUCUUGGUUCUCCGGCAUUGCCACCACCACAAUAACCCCAGAAUUUAUAGUUCUUCUCCUUCACCACAAUGAUUCGAAGUGAACCACACAUCAUCUUCUCCUCUUUUUGUUGAUUUCAGUUGGUCAUGGAUUUGCUAGGUAAGAAGAGAUUUUGGAUUUUGUUAAUAUUUCAGAAAUUAAAACCUAGGGUUUCAUAUAUGGGGGUAAAUUUGGGGGUUUUUAAAUAUACUGUUAUAAGUUUAAUGUUUGUUGUGUUAACUUGCUAAGAAAUACCUAUUUAUCAAUUUCUUAUAUGAUGUUCAGGGUUUUUUAAUU